rnacentral:rRNA from 1 species
AGAGUUUGAUCCUGGCUCAGAUUGAACGCUGGCGGCAUGGCUAAAACAUGCAAGUCGAACGAGAAAGUGGGGGCAACCCCGCGAGUAAAGUGGCGAAUGGGCGAGGAAUACGUUCCUAACGUGCCCCAGGGUCGAGGAUAGCUCGGGGAAACCCGAGGUAAUACUCGAUGACCCCGCGAAGCCGCAUGGCUUUGUGGGCAAAGGCUUGCUGCCCUGGGUUCGGGGAACGUCCUAUCAGGUAGUUGGUGAGGUAACGGCUCACCAAGCCUUAGACGGGUAGCGGGUGUGAGAGCACGGCCCGCCGCAUCGGGACUGAGACACUGCCCGGACUCCUACGGGAGGCUGCAGUAACGAAUAUUGGACAAUGAGCGCAAGCUUGAUCCAGCAAUGCCGCGUGCAGGAUGAAGCCCCUCGGGGUGUAAACUGCUGUCAGGGUCUAGAAACACAAUGAUCAGACCCAGAGGAAGGGCCGGCUAACUCUGUGCCAGCAGCCGCGGUAAUACAGAGGGCCCGAGCGUUAAUCGGAAUUACUGGGCUUAAAGGGUGCGUAGGCGGAUCCGUAAGUGCUUUGUGAAAUACCUUGGCUCAACCAAGGAACUGCUUGGCAAACUGCGGGUCUUGAGGUCGGUAGGGGCUGCUGGAACUCUAGGUGGAGCGGUGAAAUGCGCAGAUAUCUAGAGGAACGCCCAAGGCGAAGGCAGGCAGCUGGGCCGAUUCUGACGCUGAGGCACGAAAGCGUGGGGAGCGAACGGGAUUAGAUACCCCGGUAGUCCACGCCCUAAACGAUGUGCACUAGAUUGCGGAGGCACUGACGUCGACGCGGUCGAAGCAAAAGUGAUAAGUGCACCGCCUGGGGAGUACGGUCGCAAGGCUAAAACUCAAAGGAAUUGACGGGGGCUCACACAAGCGGUGGAGCCUGUGGCUCAAUUCGAAGCAACGCGAAGAACCUUAUCCAGGGUUUGACAUGCACGGAUUAGGUCGGUGAAAGCCGGCUGACACUCUUUGAGUGGAACGUGCACAGGUGCUGCAUGGCUGUCGUCAGCUCGUGCUGUGAAGUGUCGGGUUAAGUCCCUUAACGAGCGAAACCCCUAUCGUUAGUUACCAUCGGGUAAAGCCGGGUACUCUAGCGAGACUGCCGGUGUCAAACCGGAGGAAGGUGGGGAUGACGUCAAGUCCUCAUGGCCUUUAUGCCCUGGGCUGCACACGUGCUACAAUGGCGCGUACAAAGCGAAGCGAUACGGCAACGUGGAGCAAAUCGCAAAAAGCGCGCCCCAGUUCGGAUCGGGGCCUGCAACCCGACCCCGUGAAGUUGGAAUCGCUAGUAAUCGCGGAUCAGCUACGCCGCGGUGAAUACGUUCCUGAGCCUUGUACACACCGCCCGUCAAGUCAUGGGAGCCGGGAGUACCCGAAGCCGCCUCGCUACAGAGGUGUCGACGGUAAGCUCGGUGACUGGGACUAAGUCGUAACAAGGUA